ensembl:lncRNA
CUUUGGGGCAUUUAAUUAUAAGAAACAUACAUACAAUUAUCUGUUAAAUGUGGAUGUUUUGUCACCUGCUUUCAUUUCAAUAAAUGUGCAAAUAAUUGAAUGUUUCAGCAAAAAUCAGAGAUUAGACAAAAACUGCGUUUAAUGAUGUCACAUCCCCUCAGACGUUUCUGCUGCUCCCAUUGGAUGUUGGAAGUCACAUGACUGCUGGAUGAGGAAGUAUCUGGAAGAACAGGUGUAUAAGUGAGGCAGCAUGGGGAGUUUUCAGCUCGCUAUACCUGGCAGCUACAGCAGCAACAAGCUGCUGAUACUCGUGAUUUUACUUGAGCAGCAGUUUUAGUGAAGACGUUUCUGCUGCUCCCAUUGGAUGUUGGAAGUCACAUGACUGCUGGAUGAGGAAGUAUCUGGAAGAACAGGUGUAUAAGUGAGGCAGCAUGGGGAGUUUUCAGCUCGCUAUACCUGGAAAUUCAAACUUCCAGCAGCUACAUGAGCAACAAGCUGCUGAUGCUCAUGUGCUUUUACUGGAGCAGGAAUUUUAUUGAAGAAAUUCAAACUUCCAGCAGCUACGACGGCAAAAAGCUGCUGAUACUCAUGGUUUUACUGGAGCGGGAGUUUUAUUGAAGCCUACAGGUUAUUGUGAAGAAAAAGGAAGUUAUCAAGCCAAUUUCAUAAAGAAAUUCAAACUUCCAGCGGCUACAACAGCAACAAGCUGCUGAUGCUCAUGUGCUUUUACUGGAGCAGGAGUUAUAUUGAAGUGUAAUCUGUUACCAGGAGCGUCCAGAUGGAGGCGGUGUGGCUCUUCCCUCAGAGCAGACAUGACUCACCACAGCUGACUCGUGCUGCAGCAUCACUUCAUUAUCUCAUUCACAAAAAAAAAAAAAAAAAUACAACCAUUAACUCCUCGGCGGGGCACUUGUGAGGAAUAUCAACUAAAUGAAAGGCUGCGAGAGCCAUAAAAGCAGCGCAAUCACAUCGAGCUACUUAAUUUGAUGGACUAUUUUAUCUGGAUACGCUGCAUUUAUUGUAUCUCCAUUAAAAGGUCAUGUUGGCUCUAAAUCAAGACGCUUAAUGGCCUGAGCAUUUGCCAACAGUAAGGGGAGAAAAAUAGCAAUUGUUAGAAGACAAACAGCCAGCACUGUUAAAAUAAUUGAAAGUAAUGAAAAGGAUUGGACGAUAGAAAACUUUAAGUCAAUAUAGUAUAUAAGCCCCAUUCAUAUGCAUUUCCAUAAUAGUAGCAGGUUUAUUUGCAUAUUUAAAAGAUAUAGAAAUGGGUGUCUUUCCAAUAUAUUCCUAAUAUUAAUAUCUGCAGAGAAAUUUAUUAGUAAAAAGUAAAAUUUCCCAGCUUUAGUGUCUAUUUUCUAAAUCAACAAAUUGAACUAAAAAGUUUCAGAAAAUAUGAAAAAAAUACAAUAAACCUCACAAUAAAUUGAUUUUUUUUCCCCAAGUUUUUGAAAUAAUCAGUUGAGCUGCAGAAAUCAUCAAAUUCAACAAUAGAUGUGAAGAAAUGACAUGAAAUCUCACAAUUUCUGGCAAUUUAUUCCAAAAAACCUCUAGGAUUUUUCAACUUAACUGUGUGUUUUCUGAAGCAAUCGAACCACUGAGCUGCAGAAAUCCUCAAACUGAACAUAAAAGUUUCAGAAAAUGUGAAAAACUAACAUUCAAUAUCUACAUUUGUUGAGAGAUUUAAUGUAAUUUCUAGCAAUUUAUCAUUAAAAAGCAGGAAUUCUUAACUUUGGUGACUGUUUUAAAUAUUAAUCAAACUUCUGAGCUGCAAAAAUCACCAAAUUGUACAAGAAAGUUUCAGUUAAUAUGAAGAAAUUACAUUAAAUAUCACUGUUUCUUUUGAAAUUUAAUGACAUUUCUAGCAAUUUAUUUUAAAAGGCUAUAUUUUUUCAAGUUUAGUGUCUGUUUAAGGAAUCAAUCAAACUUCUGAGCUGCAAAAAUCACCAACUUGUGGAAGAAAAUUUCAGCAAUAUAGAAACAUGACAUUAAAACUUACAAUUUAUCGCGCGAUUUAAUGUAAUAUCUGGUAAUU